GAUGAAAGAACGUAGCGAAAUGCGAUAAGUAAUGCGAAUUGCAGAAUUCAGUGAGUCAUCGAAUCUUUGAACGCACAUUGCGCCCUGUGGUAUUCCGCAGGGCAUGCCUGUUCGAGCGUCAUUUCAACCCUCAAGCUCUGCUUGGUGUUGGGCCCUGCCCGCUGCGGCCGGCCCUAAAGACAGUGGCGGUGCCGCCUGGCCCUGAGCGUAGUACAUCUCUCGCUCCAGUGCCCGGUGGUAGCCUGCCAGAACCCCAACUCUCGUGGUUGACCUCGGAUCAGGUAGGGAUACCCGCUGAACUUAAGCAUAUCAAUAAGCGGAGGA
rnacentral:misc_RNA from 1 species